rnacentral:rRNA from 1 species
UACAGAGGGGGCAAGCGUUGUUCGGAAUUACUGGGCGUAAAGGGCGCGUAGGCGGCCUUCUAAGUCGAACGUGAAAUCCCCGGGCUCAACCCGGGAACUGCGUCCGAUACUGGAAGGCUUGAAUCCGGGAGAGGGAUGCGGAAUUCCGGUGUAGCGGUGAAAUGCGUAGAUAUCGGAAGGAACAUCAGUGGCGAAAGCGACUUCCUGGACCAAUACUGACGCUCAUGUGCGAAAGCGUGGGGAGCAAACAGG